AGCUCCAAUAGCGUAUAUUAAAGUUGUUGCAGUUAAAAAGCUCGUAGUUGGACUUCUGGUUUGGGGUGGUGGUCCGCCUAACGGUGUGCACUGUUGCCUUGAGCCUUCUUCCUGUAGUCCGUUUGUGCACUUAAUUGUGUGCUCUUGGAAUAUGGGACCUUUACUUUGAAAAAAUUAGAGUGUUCAAAGCAGGCCUUCGCUUGAAUACAUUAGCAUGGAAUAAUAGAAUAGGACUUUGGUUCUAUUUUGUUGGUUUCUAGGACCGAAGUAAUGAUUAAUAGGGACGGUUGGGGGCAUUAGUAUUUAAUUGUCAGAGGUGAAAUUCUUGGAUUUAUGAAAGACUAACUACUGCGAAAGCAUUUGCCAAGGAUGUUUUCA
rnacentral:rRNA from 1 species